GAGAAAGAACUGAGUGAACCCAGAUGAAGAAGAAGGUUUAGCAACAGAGACUAUGAGCACAAGGUGAAGAGAGCAGCGGAGGGUAUCCCAGCAAACCAGUAGGGUUGAGAUUGUAGCUGAAGAUUUGGAAUUUAUCUUAAACGUCAGACUAAAUGGGAAGGGAGAUUUCAGAAGUCCCGAGAAGUAGAGGCGACCCAGAGAUGGAGGAAGCAGGAUGGGGAAGAACAAGGAUAUUCAAGAACGUGCCACCGCAACAAUAAACAGAGAUUGGAGAAGUGGCUAUCGGAAAAGUGGAAUGGCGUUGGUAUCUGCUGCAUGUCACGCGCUUAAAAGCAUGAAAAGAUUCUUCCAUACUUCUUCUUCUUCCUCCAAAUGCAUACUGUUUCUACUGUUAGUUAUCUAUUCCAAGAUUGCCACAAAACAUGGAAAGUACAGGCAUAGUUUAUAACGAAGGAAUCCUUGGUUUCAUUGUUAAAGAUUGUUCAUGAAGUGAUGAUGAAUUCGUGAAUUUUACUUCCAAAAGAAGUACAUUGAAGGAAGAUGCAAAAGGAUUCAGAUCUCCACAGUAUUCCCUUUAGAUUGCCGCAAAACGUGGAAAGUACGGGUAUAGUUGCACUUUUUAAGGAACGAAUCCUUGGUUUCAUUGUUAAAGAUUGUUCAUGAAGUAAGGUUGAAUUUGUUGUUUGUGGUAUCACUUGGAUUCUUUAAAUAUGGGUUUGUGCCAAAUUUAUUAACUUAUCUUUAUGUUUUCCCAAUUUGAAACAUUUUUCUAUAGAUAUGGUUGUUUGGAAUAUUGGGUAAUCACUAAAAGCUGUGCAGUAUCUAUGGAAAUACAUGGCUAAGGUAAUUAGCAACUAAAUUGUUUGAACAUUUACUUGCCUAACAUUAUGUAUUGUUACUUCUGAAAUGGAGCUUCAACUGAUAGUAAUCUAGAGGUCUUCAAAGUCUUUAUUCAAUGAAUUGAAGCACCCUAUAUUUUUUGAGUACAUCUAAUUUUUUUUCUGUAUAAUCAAAAUGGUUCACUUAACUGUGCAAAUAGAAUAGUUUACUAUUUCAGUACUACUUAACAAAAGCAUAAAACCUGAGCAAUUCAUACUACCUGUUCUCUUUUAACUAAUUGCGCAUAAAUUGCAUGCUCUAUAAAAUUAAUAAACAAUUUGAUUUAAGUUUUCAAAUGAUAUAAUUUUCAACUUUAUGGUAUCCUUUGGUGUUGCUUUUAAAUUAAAAGAUGGAAAUUGACUUGAAAUAACAUCCGUCUUUUGUAGCUGGAUAGGAAAGGUUUAGGACUAUGAUGAGUUCUUAUUACAGAGGAGUGCAAGGAAUCACUCUUGGUAAAUGGUAAAUUGAUUUAUACAUGACUUUAUAGAAAAUUUUCAAAAUAAUAAUUAGCAUUAAUAAACUCUGAGUAACUCCCUACUUGCAUGGAUUUUCUUUGCAUUUUUUAGUUUAGAAGGAUGCUAUAUAAGAAAUUUUAAAUUUAGAACUAACUAGUAAUUACAUGUUUAUUGUGAAGUUUGGUGAAAAGUAGUAUUAGCCCUUGGUUUUAGAAAAGAGUAAAGAAAUUGGACAUAUUCUUAAUCUUUGUUGUGAUUUGUUAUAUCUAUUGUACUGUUAGCAUCAUUGUAAAGACCAAUGUGAUCAUUAUUAUUUUAACUUUAUUGUAAUGAAAGCUAUUGCAAAACUAUAAAGCAGGAAAAUUAAAAAUUGAAUGUAAGCAACAUAACUUGAAAAUCAUUUACACCUCUCCUAUUAAAGCAAAGUUUGUAAUUACUAAGUUUCUUCUAGCAAUGUGAUUUCAUUUUAGAAACCUACAUUUAUGUCACUUUGAGUGGUAAAAUUAUUGAAAAGUUAGAAAAUUUUUUUAAAAAUAUUGUCUUAAAGUUUGCGUAAGUUUUAUUUUAUGAUAAACAUUUGAAAUUGGAUUCAUAGAGUUUGAUGAGGUUGACUUGAAUUUUAAAUUAUAAGGUUCGCAAGGCUGUACUAGGUAAGCAUUCUCUAAUACAUGAUUCACAAUAAUGUUUUCAUGUUCUUUUGAAUAUUUUUUUUCAAGCUUUUCAAUAUUAAUGUUCUGGAUGAAACUGUCAUUUUCCAUUCCUUCUUUGUGCUUAUGUUCAUUUGAAGCAUUAAAAGAUAGAGACUAAUAAGCCAAAAGAAGAUUGAGAAUGUAUAAAUUUGGAACUAACAUUUAAAUGAAGAUUUAUCAAUAUUUUUAUUUGAGGUAGAAAUAUUGGGUAUAAAAUGCUAUGCGUUUGUAUUAAGGACAAAAACAUUCAAUAGCAGUGUAGUGUGGCCAAUUGUAGAGCUAAGAUGUGAUUUUUUUUUUAUUAAUAUUCUUAAUUACGGCAGAUAUCGUAAGAAUAGUUAUUAUUGGAAGCUUUUAAGAUUUUUCAAAAAACAUGCACAUAAAAAGAAGUUUUUUAGAUCCUUUAUGCAUACAAUUUUAUUAAAAACAUGAUCGGGGUCAUGAACUAUUUGUUAAAGUAAUUGUAGAGAAUUUUUUUCAUUUUGCCUUAAAAUGCAAACUAUUUGUUAAAGUAAAAUAAAUUUAAGUAAUUACAAUAAAUUAUUAUAAGUUUAUAAUUAAAAAUAUAUACUUUAAAAUACAGAAUUUUACCUUCAGUUGGCCAAAUCUACAAAGUAGGAAUAGUUAGAAUUUUAUUUAUGAGUUCUAGCAUUAGUUUUCUAUUGUAGUUCAUUAGACAUAUUAGUAGGAUGAGUUUAGUUAGUUGCAAGUCAUACUAUCUUCACAUUAAUGGAUUUUUUUGUCAAUUUCAAACACUUUAGAAAAUGUUACAAUAGAUCAGAGUCAAACUUAAUAAGAGGGAUUAAUUCAAUAGUUGACCUUAAGUGAUGAUCACAAAUUCUUUUGUGAAUUAUGUACAUAAACCAAUUCUUUGAUAUACUCUAAUUGGUGGAAUCAUUAUUUUAUUGCUUUUUUUAAUCUUUGAAGUCUAUAUUACUAUUAUUUUAAUUGACAUCCAUCGUGAAAGGAUAUAUCACUAAACCCAGUUUAAUUCAAUCUAACCAUGGUUGAUUUUUCUAAUUUUGAUUAGUUUAUAUAAGAGAUGUUGCUGAAAAAUACUUUGCUUUCUAAAAUUGUCAGAGCUCAGCAAAGAUGUUUAUCAGGUACAAAUAUCAGUAUAUAAUUUUGUUUUUGAAUGAAUAAUUCUUAGUUCUUUGGCUUAUGUAAAUAGUGAUUUUAUUAAAGGAUUUAGGACAAAUAUCCAAUUCUAAUGAUCUCACUAAAUUCUUAACUUUUUAUUAUUUUUGUUUUAACAGUGUUUACUAUAGAUGUAUUCUUAUUAAACUGUGGAUUUUAAUUCUUAUUAAGUUUCAUGCUUGGCUGUUUAUGAGAACAAAUGAGGCAUGGAGUAUAGUUUCGAGAAAUUGUGUUCCUGAACUUCUAAAUUUGUCGAUAUUUUUGAGAAAGUUAAAGAGUUUUUUUGUUUCUAAUUAAUCACAUUGAAUGUAUGGGUUUUAUGUAUUGAUUUUAGAUUAUUAUCAACUCAUUUUUUUCUUUUUGACGUACUGUUGAAAAUUGUGUACAGUUUAGAAGGAAAAACUUUAGAAGUAUGAUCUAUGUUAAGCAUGGAAAAUAUCUGAGCGACUUAGCUGAAGAAAAUGUAACAUGUGAACAUAUUUUUUUUCCAAAGAAGAUGAAAACUGUCUACAUUUUUUCUUUAUUCUCAAGUUAAUAUCUGUUUAGUGCAAAGUUCAUUAACAAAUUUUUUUAUAUACUAUGAGCUAAAUUCUAAAUGCCAUUAUAUGAUUCAUGUAGUGAGUUUUACAUAUUAAAAAAAAAGGUUGUGCUCUCAUGAAUAAAAUUGUAUUUAAAUUGCCUACUUGCUUCCAUUUAAUAACUUAUUUUAAAAUAAUUUGUAGAUUUUUAGUUUCAAUAUUUGUAAUUUCCAUUUUUUCUAUUGAUUUGUUUGCUUAUUUCCAUUAUGGUUGGUUUUGUGUAGAUUGAGAAAUUGGUAGGAGUAAAAAGUUUGCGUGAAUUUUCAGUAUAAGUGAGUAGCUUUUGGGAUGAAGAAGCCAUCUUUUUGACAUAAACUCAAAAGCUUCAUCAAUUUUAUUCAAUUCGGCAAGAUAUUCAAUUUCAGCCCGACACAUUUCCAUUUGAGAGCAAACUUGACAAAGCUCCCAAAUUCUUUUCACUUCAUCUAUAUCACCCAAUUUCGCAUACCAUAGACAGAAGUAUCUACCAACUUGAGGAUUCUUUUUUAGGUCUUCUCCUUUCAUUUUUUUCAAUAAAUCUUUGACAUCUUUUUUCAACUCAACGGUUAUAAAGUGUAUAACUAAAACUGCCUUUUUUUCUGCCUGAGCACUACAAAUUGAUAAUAAAACUUCAGCAUUUAAAAGGUUCUGGUUCUGAAUAACCCUCAGUACAUUUCUAAUUCAUGUAGCUCAUGAUCAGACAAUUUAGCAAUAAAACAAUAUAGGUAGGAUGAUAUCUAUUGCUAAAUUGUCUGAUCAUGAGCUACAUGAAUUAGAAAUGUACUUUGAAGAGUUAUUUAGAACCAAAACCUUCUAAAUGUUGAUGUUUUAUUAUCAAUUUGUAGCGCUCAGACAGAAAGAAAUGUAGUCGUUGGGUUGAAAGAAGAUAUCAAAUAUUUAUUGAAGAAACUGGAAGGGGAAGACUUAAAGAAGAAUCCUCAAGUUGGUAGGUACUUCUAUCUAUGGUAUGCGAAAUUGGGUGAUAUAAAUGAAGUGAGAAAAAUUUAGAAACUUUGUCAAGUUUGCUCUCAAAAGGAAGUGUAUCGGAUUGAAAUUGAGUAUCUUACCGAAUUAAAUAAAAUUGAUGAAGUUGUUUAUGUUAAAAAGAUGGCUUUUUCAUCCCAAGAGCUACUCACUUAUGCUGAAAAUUUAUGCAAAUAAUAUGAUGGUAAAAAAGGGUAACGAUGUCGUUAUGCUAAUGGCAGACAGUGGAAUCCGAAUAGGCCCAUUGAUAUGGGACGACCUAGUUAAACUUCAUAUCAAAGCAGGGGAAGUUGAGAAGCAGUCUUGCUGAACCAAGAGAAACCUUUUAUCAAUUAUACUGUUAUUAUGGAGAAGUAUGCUAAUAGAGGUGAUAUCCAUAUUACAGAGAUGAUUUGGCACAAAACGAAAGAAGUGGGCUACAAGUUUAGUUGGAGGCAAUAUGAAGUUCUACUACAGGCUUAUUUAAUUGCCAAGCUUCGGCAUAUGGAAUGAGGGACACGAUGAAAGCUCGUAACAUAGUUCUCAACCCAGUUCUUCGGAGUUUGUUGAUUCAAGUUGAUCAUUUUCGUAAGAUUCAAGCUUUAGAUUUGGGUAUCUUUAUGUAGGAAAUUGAGGAAAUUAACAGAUUCAAGUUUUUUUAUUAUUAUUAUUAUUCAACUUGCUUGUUA